UUGAUCGAGGUAUUUAAAAUUUUGAGAGGGAUAGAUAGAGUUGACGUGAAUAGGCUGUUUCCAUUGAGAGUAGGGGAGAUUCAAAUGAGAGGACAUGAUUUGAGAGUUAGGGGGCAGAAGUUUAAGGGAAACACGAAGGGGUAUUUCUUUACUCAGAGUGUGAUAGCUGUGUGGAAUGAGCUUCCUGUAGAAGUAGUAGAAGCCAGUUCAGUUGUGUCAUUUAAGGUAAAAUUGGAUAGGUAUAUGGACAGGAAAGGAGUGGAGGGUUAUGGGCUGAGUGCGGGUAGGUAGGACUAGGUGAGAUUAAGAGUUCAGCACGGACUAGGAGGGCCGUGAUGGCUCAUUUCUGUGCUGUGAUUGUUAUAUGGUUAUAUGGUUACCUGGGGACUUCUCAGACAAGGACUUGUACACAAAGUAAUAGAGACAGGUUCAGGCUCUCGCAAAUCAGUUCUGGUCCCAUUGGAGACAUGAAUAUUUGCCUUUGAUGCAAAGCAGACAAAAGUGAACAGAACCUCGCAGGAACCUUCAAGUUGGAGAUUUAGUCCUGCUUAGGGAUAGGCAGAUCGCCCGCAACUGCUGGCCAAUGGCCAGAAUCACUGCCACAUUCCCUGGUAAGGAUGGACAUAUCAGGAAGGUUGAGUUGAAAACUUCUGACCAAGGUGAUGUGAAAACUUACCAAAGACCAGUUGCAGAAGUCAUUCUACUUCUACCUAAAGACUGAUCUAGAGACUAAAGUUUUGUAUCAUGUUCAUAGUGACCUUACAAGGUCAGGCGGGGACUGUAUUGCCCUUAAGGCAUUUGUUUAGCUUUAUUACAUUUUCACUUUAGUAAUUCAUUUGUAAUUAUUUUCUAGUUAAAGUUAAGGUUGAUAACUACGUUGCAGUUGUUGGAAGUAAAUUCAUUAUCUGUGAUGUAUCGCGGCAUGCGAUGACAUCACACCCGGUUUCACCGCAUGUUGUAGGUAAAUACCGGUUUGUAGAAAUGGGAAGGCAGGGGCUUGAGUAUGCAGGAUCAGCGUGAGAAAAGUUCCAUUUCUACGCACUAAGAAGCAUCAUAGAAGCAAUGCCGUCAUUUCACAACCAGUAUAUCAAGGUCAUACAAAGGAAAAUCAAAAGAAUGCAGAAUGCAGAGUUACAUUUUGCAACAGUUUUAUUCUUUCACAGGAUACGAGACAAGGAUGUCUGUUAAGUCCCUUGUUAUUUAAUUUGGUGCUGGAACUCUUAGCUAUUGCACUUCGUGAAGCUAAAGAUAUUCAUGGAAUUAUCAUAAAUGGGACUAUUCAUAAGAUCUUCCUUUAUGCUGAUGAUUUCUUAGUUUAUAUUUCGAAUCCUGAAGAAUCCAUUCCUAGUUUAUUGAAACUAUUAAACAAACUUGGAAAGUUUUUGGGAUAUAAACUAAACCUUCAUAAAAGUGAAUUAUUUCCCCUAUAUGAUUCUGCUUCUAUAUAUGAUGACAUUCCUUUUAGAGUUAUGGACUCUUUUAAAUAUUUAGGUAUUAUUAUUAUUUAAAAUCAUAAAGACCUUUAUAAAACUAAAUUGGUUCCUUUAGUGGAUUUUAUGAAGCAAUUAUUUUGUAGAUGGAAUCCACUUACACUUCUGGUAGCUGGCUGAAUUCAUGUUGUUAAAAUGAUGAUUUUACCAAAAUUUCUAUAUGUAUUUCAAAAUAUCCCUUUUUUAACUAAGAAAUUUUUUGGUCAGGUUGACGCUAUCAUUUCAUCUUUUGUUUGGAAUAAUAAAAGUCAAAGAAUUGGUAAAUAUCAUUUAUAAAAAUUAAAAAAGGGUGGAGGUCUUGCUCUGCCUAAUUUGAGAAUGUACUAUUGGACUGUUAAUAUAUGUUAUAUGUGUUUUUGGUUAUAUUGGGCUGAUAAAAAUGAACGACCACCUUGGGCUGAUUUGGAAUUGAAAGCUAUGAAACAGUUCCACUUAAACUCAUUAUUAAGAGCUUCUCUACCCGUACAACUGGCCAAAAUUGCUAAUUUAAUUUUAUAUCCUCUGAUUAAGCAGUCAUUACAAAUUUGUUUCCAGUUUCAUAAUUCUUUUAAUCUCAAAAAAUUUAAACUUUUUAGUUUAAUUUAUCAAAGUUAUUUAUGCAAACCUUCAUUAAGUGAUCCUACUUUUCUUCUUUGGAUGAAUAAAGGAGUUAUUCCUUUAUGGAUCUGUUUCAAGAUGACCUUGUAACCUUGUAAGAUACUCUCUCUUGUAUUCACAUUUCUUGCAAUAUCUUCAGGUCAGACACUUCUUACAAGAAUAUUUAAUUAAUUUUCCAUAUAUACAGGAUUCUGACCUGUUAGAUAUUAUUUUAAAAAUGAACCCUUUAGUGAAAAGUUUUAUUGGGAAAGUGUAUAAUUUAUUAUUACAACAGCACAGUUACCCUUCACUUAAGAUUAAGCAAAAUUGGGAGAGAGAGCUUAACAUGACCUUGAUAACAGAGGAUUGGUUGCAGAUUUUGAAGUUGGUUAACUCUUCUUCGAUCUGUGCUAGUCACUCUUUAGUUCAAUUGUUUCCUAAUGUUGAUAGUCAGUGUGAUAGAUGUAAAACCGAGACAGCCACAUUGACACAUAUGUUUUGGUCGUGUUCUGUAUUGAAACAUUUUUGGAAAUCUAUUUUCUCUGCAAUUUCUAAAGUUUUAAAAGUUAAUUUACAACCUAAUAAAUUGACAGUUUUGUUUGGUAUAAGCCCUCAAUAUAUCAGACAUGUAAUUGCAUUUGUUACAUUAUUGGUCAGAAGGGCUAUUUUAUUGAAAUGGAAAGAUGUUUCUGCUCCUAAUUUGAUACAAUGGUUCUCUCAGGUGAUGCUAUGUCUUAGUUUGGAGAAAAUCAGAAGUUGAACUUUUGAUCCUCGAUUUGAUUUUGAGAAAAAGUGGGGUUCAUUUGCCCGCUACUAUCAUCUGAUUUGAGUUAAUUAAUAUGGUUUCCUUCUGAUUUUUGUUUAAAUGGAUUUGAGUUGGCAGAUUAAUGUUUUUUUUUUAUGGAAGCUUGUAUGAUGUAUAGCUCCGGUGUUGUGCUCCCAAUAGGGUUUUUGUUUCCAUUUUUUUUAGUUAGUAGGGGUUUUUUUUCUCUUAGUUCAUUGGGGUUCUUUUUUUUUCUUUUUUUAAAACAAAAAUUCUUAACACUUUAUUUUUUCUUAUUAU